rnacentral:rRNA from 1 species
AAGGGUGCAGGGCGGAUGCCUUGGCACUAGGAGCCGAUGAAGGACGUGAUAAGCUGCGAUAAGCUUCGGGGAGUUGCACGUAAACUUUGAUCCGAAGAUUUCCGAAUGAGGAAACUCACUUAGAGUAAUGUCUAAGUAUCAUUAAGUGAAUACAUAGCUUAAUGAGGGGAACUCAGGGAACUGAAACAUCUAAGUACCUGAAGGAAGAGAAAGAAAUUCGAUUCCGUAAGUAGCGGCGAGCGAACGCGGAUUAGCCCAAACCAAUAAAGUUUUCUUUAUUGGGGUUGCGGACAUAUCAUAACGAAGAGGUAUCGUAAUUGAAGAGGUUUGGAAAGACCCACCACAGAAGGUAAUAGUCCU